GAUGAACGCUAGCUACAGGCUUAACACAUGCAAGUCGAGGGGAAACGGCAUCGAAAGCUUGCUUUUGAUGGGCGUCGACCGGCGCACGGGUGAGUAACGCGUAUCCAACCUGCCCAUCACUUGGGAAUAACCUUGCGAAAGUAAGACUAAUACCCAAUGACAUCCCACGAAGACAUCUGAAUGGGAUUAAAGAUUUAUCGGUGAUGGAUGGGGAUGCGUCUGAUUAGCUUGUUGGCGGGGUAACGGCCCACCAAGGCAACGAUCAGUAGGGGUUCUGAGAGGAAGGUCCCCCACAUUGGAACUGAGACACGGUCCAAACUCCUACGGGAGGCAGCAGUGAGGAAUAUUGGUCAAUGGGCGAGAGCCUGAACCAGCCAAGUAGCGUGCAGGAUGACGGCCCUAUGGGUUGUAAACUGCUUUUAGAAGGGAAUAAAGUGGGUCUCGUGAGACUUUUUGCAUGUACCUUAUGAAUAAGGACCGGCUAAUUCCGUG
rnacentral:rRNA from 1 species